rnacentral:misc_RNA from 1 species
ACAAGUCCUGCUGUGUGUGCGGAGCAAUCUGCAUGCGCACAUCCGUUCCAUGUGCACCCGCACAUGACAUUUCUGCGAAUCGUCUGAUUGUCGCUCUUUCAAAUCAUAC